ACGGACCUUAGUGUUUUUCUAGACGGUGUGAUUCGGAGCAAGAGUCCAUGGGCGUAAGCCCCGGUCUCGGACGAUGUCCACUGAUCCUUGGUGCGUUGGUGUUCCGUGUGCCAUCGGAGAGUUGAGUGUUCGCAUUCUUCGCCUCUGUGGAUUUCUCGGUUCAUCGACAAAGCGCCUCGGAGUACGUUUCUUCUUAGAGGGAUUGACGACUUAUAAGUCGUAAGAAACAGGGAGCAAUAACAGGUCUGUGAUGCCCUUAGAUGUUCUGGGCUGCACGCGUGUUACAAUGCCGGUAUCAACGGGUUAUUACACUUUUAGUGGCCUACUCCGAAAGGAGUGGGUAAACCUUUGAAAUACCAACUGCGUCUGUCUUCAUUGACAGUGCAAUUACGGCAUGCUUGGGACUGGGGAUUGCAAUUAUUCCCCACAAACUAGGAAUGCCUUGUAGUGGCGGGUCACAGAGCCCGCUGCGAAUCUGUCCCUGCCCUUUGUACACACCGCCCGUCGCUACUACCGAUUGAGUGUACCAGUGAGAUUUUUGGACUGGCGAACCGCAAGCCUUUACGGGCUAGCGGCGUACGACAAUAAGAGACUCGAACUGGUGCACUUAGAGGAAGUAAAAGUCGUAACAAGGUAUCCCGUA
rnacentral:rRNA from 1 species